CGCUGGCGGCAGGCCUAACACAUGCAAGUCGAACGGUAACAGGAAGAAGCUUGCUUCUUUGCUGACGAGUGGCGGACGGGUGAGUAANGUCUGGGAAACUGCCUGAUGGAGGGGGAUAACUACUGGAAACGGUAGCUAAUACCGCAUAACGUCGCAAGACCAAAGAGGGGGACCUUCGGGCCUCUUGCCAUCGGAUGUGCCCAGAUGGGAUUAGCUAGUAGGUGGGGUAACGGCUCACCUAGGCGACGAUCCCUAGCUGGUCUGAGAGGAUGACCAGCCACACUGGAACUGAGACACGGUCCAGACUCCUACGGGAGGCAGCAGUGGGGAAUAUUGCACAAUGGGCGCAAGCCUGAUGCAGCCAUGCCGCGUGUAUGAAGAAGGCCUUCGGGUUGUAAAGUACUUUCAGCGGGGAGGAAGGGAGUAAAGUUAAUACCUUUGCUCAUUGACGUUACCCGCAGAAGAAGCACCGGCUAACUCCGUG
rnacentral:rRNA from 1 species